rnacentral:misc_RNA from 1 species
ACCUAUAUCCCUAGCAUCAACCCUAAAAAUGAAAUCAAUUUGAACCUUGGAUAAGGGAUAGAUCAUGUCAUGAUCUAAUAUUCACGAUAUAGCAAAAUUUACAAAAAUUAAAGAUAAUAAAUUGAAGCCACAUGGAUAAUGCCGGUUGUUCCCCAAAGGAAAAGAAUUUAUGAGCAAUGAAUCUCACCAUUGAAGCAGAACCAAAAAAUAAAGGAAAUAAAAACAAGAAUUAUAUCUAUAAGAGAUGAAAAAUAAAGCAAGCAAAGGUGUGUGCAAAUGAAAUGAAGUAAAUCAAGGGGGGCAAUCAUUUAACAAGCA